UUUAUGGAGAGUUUGAUCCUGGCUCAGGAUGAACGCUGGCGGCGUGCCUAAUACAUGCAAGUCGAGCGAACAGAUAAGGAGCUUGCUCCUUUGACGUUAGCGGCGGACGGGUGAGUAACACGUGGGUAACCUACCUAUAAGACUGGGAUAACUUCGGGAAACCGGAGCUAAUACCGGAUAAUAUUUCGAACCGCAUGGUUCG
rnacentral:rRNA from 1 species